UACGUAGGGUGCAAGCGUUGUCCGGAAUUAUUGGGCGUAAAGAGCUCGUAGGCGGCUUGUCACGUCGACUGUGAAAACCCGGGGCUCAACUCCGGGCCUGCAGUCGAUACGGGCUGGCUUGAGUGCGGUAGGGGAGACUGGAAUUCCUGGUGUAGCGGUGAAAUGCGCAGAUAUCAGGAGGAACACCGGUGGCGAAGGCGGGUCUCUGGGCCACUACUGACGCUGAGAAGCGAAAGCGUGGGGAGCGAACAGG
rnacentral:rRNA from 1 species